UACAGAGGUCUCAAGCGUUGUUCGGAUUCAUUGGGCGUAAAGGGUGUGUAGGUGGCGCGCUAAGUCGGGUGUGAAAUUUCGGAGCUUAACUCCGAAACUGCAUUCGAUACUGGCGUGCUUGAGGACUGGAGAGGAGACUGGAAUUCAUGGUGUAGCAGUGAAAUGCGUAGAUAUCUGCAGGAACACCCGUGGCGAAAGCGGCGAGCUGGACCACUACUGACGCUGAAGAACGAAAGCUAGGGGAGCAAACAGG
rnacentral:rRNA from 1 species